CCUCACCCAAUUUAAGGAACACAAGUUAUCCCACCCUGUGGAGCCUACUCGUGGAGAAAUAAUAGAAACAGUAAAACCCUCCUGACCACCUUUAGGUCUGGGUUCUUGCAUCCCAUCCAAACCUGCUACUCUCCUCACCCAAUUUAAGGAACACAAGUUAUCCCACCCUGUGGAGCCUACUCGUGGAGAAAUAAUAGAAACAGUAAAACCCUCCUGACCACCUUUAGGUCUGGGUUCUUGCAUCCCAUCCAAACCUGCUACUCUCCUCACCCAAUUUAA